rnacentral:lncRNA from 1 species
CGGCAGUUCUAGCACUGCACGGCAUAGGGGCGCACACAAAAGGCAUCGCGCAGAACCUGACACGCUCUUUUUUUUCCACGAUCCUUGACUAUUUCUUGAGAGCUUUAUUGUUGCAUGCGUGCAUGCGCAUGUUGGCGUAAAAUGUCGUCGGGUUAGUUUGUAUGUAAUGAAAUGCUCUCCCUACACAUGACAUUUUAGUAGCCGCACUGUACAGCCCCCAACCGCUUCCCUCGCGCCGGUACAGAAGUAAAUGCCUUCGUGCCACAUUAUGUCAGGCGCUGGCGCUUCUUGUCUAUUGCAGGUUGGUAGCCUACGAAUGAUGCUGACUUGCUACCCGGCAAAUAAGUAAGAAAUCAGUGACAACUGGGUUGCGAACAUCUCGGUCUUGCGCAAAUCCCAGCCCAACUUGGCAAACGGUUUUCCCGCGGAAUGCACUGGCUAAAUGAAUGCUUUGGUCUCAUCUGCUACGGUGGGUAUUUGCUCACACUUACGGGAAUCAUCGUGCAUCGGGCUGAUGUAGACUAUGAUUUUGUGCCUUGCUGGGCUGCAAGCGGAUAUUAACUUUUAGCAAUCAUUUUAAGCUCUAGCUUUCCGAAAUAGCUACCUUAGCGUCUUUGGAGAUGUCUUUCGGUGUGCUGUGCGAUGCUGGGCCUGAAAUGAGCCUGGAUCCCAGGCAGUACAUUUAAAUUGUAUAUCGUUGCGAAACUCAGGACAGGGCAAGGCAAAGCUGAACUGAUUGGUUUAACCUUCUUUACCUAUGUUUGUCUUAAAGCAUUACACGAAAGCCACUUGCUUGCAAGGUUCCAAGGCAGCGUGAUAUCAUUGCAGGCCAACAUGGCCACGUUCUCUAGAUGUGAAGUGGAAGAUGAAGACCUUGCCAAGCUAGAUGCACUGCGUGACGCUUGCUUGGACUACCUGAGUUCAGUCAAACCUUUGCAAGGUGAGGGUUAUUAUAUUGGCUCUGGAGCCAUGCUCCUACUCCUAGGAGGCAUGGUCACUUCCCUCGUUUUCAUUUCCACGCACUUUUUGGUUUCAAUGACGGUUGUCUCCAGGUAACGCAAUCCUAUCUGAUGGUUUUGGGGAGAAGUCGCCUCGCCUGACGUUAGACAAUCAGGAGGACUGCGCACCCCGACCCGUUGGCAUGAUGGAGCUUCAGAAUGGAAAUAAUGACAAGGGAUCAGGGACGCGAGCGCGGACAAGCAGUUCUCAGCGCGCCUAUGGUCGCGGGCCGUCGCCCAUCCUACAGAAGCAGAUUCAGCGUUACAGCCUUCGGCCGGGCAGCGCCAAGAAGUCCGAUAAAGUUAGCUAACUCCCCCCUGCAUGUAAUGUAGCCAGACCGGCGUCGCCACAACCUGGGUUUGUGUGGCAUGGGAGGGCGAGCAAGCCAAGCAAGCCAUUUCGCCGACGGAGCAAGCCAAGCAAGCCAUUUCGCCGACGGCGGAGCCUUAGCCUUGCCCCGGGCCCAGCGAUAUAGGCCUCAGAGCUGCUGCGGGUUACACAGAUCUCCACGAAAAAUACCCCGCAGGAUUGCCGCGGGAAAUACUUCCCAUCAGCCGCUCCAAGCGUCAGCAGCCAGAACGUCGUCGAGGUGUUUGGAUGAAAGGGAAGCGGUACCAUCCCUGAAACACGUGCUUCUUUAGGCAGGGACAGGCAAGCAGGCAAAAUGGUAUUUCCAAACACCAGCGUUGACGUUUCUUUCGGUACCUCUGUAACUUAUUUCACUUAAUAUCAUGCCCGUCAGCCCUUGGCCCCACGAGUCGCGGCCCUCGUUUGGCCAUUACCUCCGUACAAUUACAAGGGGGUGGCAUCUGCAGAAGGCUACAUUCCCUAUUACCUAUUUCCGUGCACGCAGAUCUACGACAGGCUCGUUGGUCGUUCCACGUGACACCUGACAAUAACUAGACGCCGUUUAUAUACGGCUUGGAUGCGAACGACCGUGCUUUGGGGUCUUGCCGUACCGAUAUUGUGGAGUUGGGUGCCCAAGCCGUUGUGGCUCAGCGAGCCUCGGCCAAUGAUAUGUGGUCAGGAGGCAAAUCGCUAUGUAAACUGUGUUGGUGUAGGAAAUCGUCCGCCAUUAGGACCAGCUGCAGAGAGCGCAUUUGGGGCCAGGACUUGGAACGCCAAGAUGUUUCAUACCCACAAGCGUAUGUUGUGCAGGACCUUUGAAUGUGUUGCGUUAAAUGUAUUUUACUUAUUUGUGUAUAUGUGUGUGUUACAUGGUUGGGGGUGCGUGACCCCAUACCUGUAAAACUACCCAUACGAGCCGAAGGCCCAAGGGCAAUAUCUAUACGCCUAAAAGCAACGGAGAACAGUUUACUUAUUUAAACUGCGCUUGUGAGGUAGCAUCCUCGAGUGCG